rnacentral:rRNA from 1 species
UACGGAAGGCAGCAGUGGGGAAUAUUGCACAAUGGGCGCAAGCCUGAUGCAGCCAUGCCGCGUGUAUGAAAAAGGCCUUCGGGUUGUAAAGUACUUUCAGUCGUGAGGAAGGUGUUAAGGUUAAUAACCUUAGCAAUUGACGUUAGCGACAGAAGAAGCACCGGCUAACUCCGUGCCAGCAGCCGCGGUAAUACGGAGGGUGCGAGCGUUAAUCGGAAUUACUGGGCGUAAAGGGCACGCAGGCGGUUAAUUAAGUUGGAUGUGAAUCCCCGGGCUUAACCUGGGAAUGGCAUUCAAGCUGGUUAGCUAGAGUCUUGUAGAGGGGGUAGAAUUCCAUGUGUAGCGGUGAAAUGCGUAGAGAUGUGGAGGAAUACCGGUGGCGAAGGCGGCCCCUGGACAAAGACUGACGCUCAUGUGCGAAAGCGUGGGGGGCAAACGAGGGAUUAGGAUACCCGU